rnacentral:rRNA from 1 species
UGAGUAACCUGUCCUCGGCACCGGGAUAGCCCGGGGGAAACCCGGAUUAAUACCGGAUGGCCUCUCGCGCCCUCGAGCGCGAAAGGAAAGGUGGCUUCGGCUUCUGGCCGAGGAUGAGCCCGCGGCCGAUUAGCUUGUUGGUGAGGUAAUGGUCACCAAGGCUACGAUCGGUAGCUGGUCUGAGAGGACGAUCAGCCACACUGGGACUGAGACACGGCCCAGACUCCUACGGGAGG